GCACAAGUCUCCCUCUGCUCCUUGCUGGCCUGGGCUGGACCCACUUUCCCUGGCCCAUGGAGGAGUUUUCCAGCAUAGCCCAGCCCUCUACUCUGGCCUGGAGCCCCAGAGUAGGCUCAUCCACUCUCCCACGUACCCUGCAGCACCCCAUCAUGAGCCCCAGUCAUCUCCCUGUUCCUGUUUCCCAAACGUUUCCCUUGUCAAGUGGCUUUGGAAAGAUCCCGUGCCUCUGCUGCAUAAAUCUCUCCCUCCCUGCUGGCCCUCCUGUCCUCCCCAUUCUGGUACUUGCAGAAUCACCAAAUUCGAAGCUGUGGAACUCCCAAGUACUCCGUGCUCCCUCCUGCAGGCCAUCACAAGGGUGUGUCACUGUGUCCCCACGCCCUCCCCUCUGAGCCGGCUCCUCAGGGUGCCCAUUGCCACUGUCCUCUCACCUGUGCUGCUUUCAGCUGCUCUCUGAGGUUCUGCCACCACCAAGAACUAGCACUUUCCAUUCCCAAUGCAGCUCAGAGGAUGCAAAACUCCCCAGCCAGUGUCUUUGUUUUUGGAGGAAGAGCACAGCUUUUUGUUCUGGAAACAAUAAGAACCACUCCACUGAUCCAUACCUGGUCUUCCUUUUGUUAUUCUUCAGUACCCGUCCUUCCCUUUGGAAACCUCGGAGCCAGGAGCCUCAUCAGCUGCUCUGUGCAAACACACUUUGCUUUAUUCUGCUGUCUGAACACAGAGCCAGAAGAGAGAGAGGCCAGCAGCUUCUGGUGGAUCAGCUGUUGCCAACACACGUGGCCCAGGUAGAGCCUGUGAUUUAUUUAGUAUGUACAGUUACAAUAAUGUCAUUUUGGAAUCAGUCUCAUGAGACAGAUGUGAACAAAAGGGUAACAUUUGGAGGAGGAGAAUUCCUGAUUUGUGCUCAGACAGAAGAAAUUCUCCUUCUCUGCUACCUUGGCAAUAACACAAUAAGGGAGGAAAACAAAAUCAUUCACAUUCCCAACUCCCUCCUCUUCAAUAGCACCAACAUAUAUUUUGAAGAGCCUCAGUGCAGGUUUUUACUGCAGAAAAUAAAGAAUGAAUUGUGUCCCCCCUGAACAGCAGCAAGAGAACAUCCUGACUGCCUCCAGCCUCAGCUGCUCACUUCCUGCUUGCUGAGCCUUCUGGCUUGACCAAGCCACAGCACAAACACAUUUGGCACCAGCCAACCCCUUCAUUGCUGAAGGACACAUCCAAGACCUCCACAUCUUGAACUCCAGCAGCUCCUGCAGUCCCUGCUUAGCUGGGGGCAGGGGGUGCUUGGCUGGACCGGGAUUGCUGGAACGUCCCUUCCCCAGCUCCCUGCACUGCCAAAGGCAGCCCAGGGCAGGCACAAGGAGCCAGAGCAGGCUGAGACAGCUUUUAACACAUUCAAAUAGUGCUACAGCCAGUUAUAGACUGUGAGAAAUGACUGCUCACUUUAAAAGUUUCAAAGGCUUAUUAAUCCAUUACAAAUACAACAAAGGACAGAAUAAGGAAAACCAGCAAAGCUGACAGCAUGACCGACUACCACAAACUCGGCCACAAAAUGGCUGCUCCGCCUUUUAAACCCCUGGAGGUGCAGCCAACCCUGGCCCCUCCCAAGCCUGUCAGUCAACUCUUCUCUGCCACCCAUUGGUGGAGAUCAUUUCUUGCAAGUUGAUUGGGGGUCAGGUGUUGCCAUGCCACGCCCCCCAGCAACAAGCCCAUUCGCACCUGGGCCUCACAGCCGGGGAGGGGAGGGGGCACUUUGGGGAGAGCAAACAGCGGACUGCAAUAUCGGAACCGUACAUCAACAAAACUUCUCAUAACGAGAAGCCAAAGCCCCUGGGUGUCAUUAGCAAGUGGCUGCAGGGCUGAGGGACAGCUCAGGGGCUGCGUGUGAGCUGCUGCUCCCAGAUCUCUCCUUCCCUCAGCAGGAGCUGGCUCUGGUGAGGCUGUGGGGAAGGAGCUUCCUGCCAGGGUCACACCCUACAUGAGGCUGCACUGCUGGGUGACAGCCCGAUGGCCCUGCUGGGUGACAGCCCGAUGGCCCUGCUGCACCCCUUGUUCUGCCUGUGACACCCAGCCAUGUCCAGGAGCAGCCCGAGGUUGGCCCAAGGCAGCAGUGAUGUCUCUGUGGGGACUCAGCCCCUCCACGAGCCUAGGGACAGCACAGACACCCCUGUGCAGCCUGUGGGAGCCCUACUCAAGCCAGCCAAAGAGGAGGUGUCCAUGUCCUCUGGUGCCCUGGGUAUGCAGGGGAAGCCCUGGACUAGAAUUUUCCUGCCCUCAGCACUCUCCAGAGUGCUCCAGGACCCCCUGAGAGCCCCCCACGGCACUGCCCAUCCAACUGCACCAGCAUCUGCUGUCUAGUUUUGAGCUGUAUUGUUUGAGCAAAUGAAGAAACAAGGACACACAAACCACGAUUCACUCAAACUCAUGCAGUAGAUUUGGGUGAAUACUGCCCUGGGGUGUUUUCUCCUUGGAUCAUGUCACUCAUUUUUCAAUCCAUCAGCCCUGUGUGUUUUGCGGCCUUUCAAAUGCUGCCCUGACCCGCAGUGAGGGAAUCUAGCUGUACCCAGGGCUCACGUGGAUGCUUCACUCCUUGCUGGGGGCCAUGAGCUCCAUCCCUAACCUGAGCCACAGUUUGGCCUCUUCCAGACCAAAAGUCUCCACUCCUUGAAGCCAGGAACCUGUGUCCUUGGGUGAGGAGGAUCAGGAAAGGACAAGGUGGGGAAAAAAUACGAGCAGUGAGCUCAACACCAAGUGUGUGAUUUCCACAGAGGCCCCUCAGAUGCUUCCAAUCCUGGUGGUUUUUGGAGGGAGGGCAUCAUUUUGAGUAUUGAUUCAAAUGACCUCCACCAUUAAUCUUUGCAAGGGAUUUUUUUUAUUCCUCCAAGAGAACAGGCAAUUUUAGCCACCGCAUCAUCCUGGGGGGAGAGGGACGUGGACAGCUUUGAAGGCACCCAGCUCAAAGCCCGAGUUAUUCUCCUUGCUUUUCCCUCACCACCUCAGCAGCAAGAACACAUAAAUUGUGUGUCAUAGCUGCCUUUUCAUCUGUCCCAGGAGUUAUAGACUGCACACAUAAGACAAUUCGUGUUCCUCUGCAUAAUGAGGUGCCGAGAGCGAUGCCCCAAAGAGUCCCCACUAGUGGCUUCUCUCCAGUUUCACAAUACCAUCAGAAAUCCAUUACCAAAUGCAUAAAAACCCAUGGAUUUUUAAUAAAAUGAGCCCCCUAAAGCUCAGAAAACAGCCUGGAUGUCUCCAUAAAUCCUGAUGCAUGUGAUUAAAGAAAACAGAGCAAGAGCGUGCCUCAAUUCGUCACAGGGUCAUUUUGGACAUCCACUAUU